rnacentral:lncRNA from 1 species
AUUGGAGACGGAUUGCUGAAGCCCACCCCCGAGCCACAACGCUAUUGGAAGAAGCGGGGAAGCUCUUCCUGUCUCAUUGGAGGACACCACAUAACCCGCCCCGCAGCGUCUCAGCCACAGGCCUAACAAGUUGGCUCCCGCCUCCGCCGGUCAUCGCAUUGGAAGGCUACCCCUGGCUCUCCCACCGCCCCAGUAAGUUUACGUUCUACACACUGCGUCCUUGUAAACACAAAUAUCCGGAGCAGCUAGCAACUCCUUUCAGCCAAGUACAGAACUAAGAUCUGGAGACCUAGGCGGAGAAAUAACCCAUAACCCC